CAAUACUUUCAUCCCUCUGUGUUAUCCUCCAGUGCUUAAUGCUCGUUUCCCUUAACCAUUGCUCAUCCACAGCAAUGCCACUGGAAGGGAAACCACAUCAACCCCUGUCACAGAAACAAACAAUAGGUACUCUCCAUUACAUUGCCACACAACGCUGCUGCAAGUUCUAUGGGCUAACCACCUAUUACCUAUCGUCAGCAUCCACCAUGUUCCUUCUAAAGACGGCAAAAAGAGGAGGACCACCCGCAAAGUGUUGUUCCCUGAAAAAUAAGGUGAACAUGAAUUAUAUCACAAACCCAUCUCAAAAAUCUUUACCCAUUGUCGUUCACGAGCUCAUAUGUUUCUCAAGGUGCUGUUGUUAGUCCCUUCGUUUAGCGGGCAACGCACGGCAAGCCGUGCCACCUAUCUUAAGUUGCUUUUUUAAGUUGCUUCAUGCUGUCAUAUGUUUCUACUAAACCAGUAAUUAAAUAUACUUUUAUGAUCAUACAUUAUUUGGUGGCUUCUCAAUUUGUGUAUGAAAACAAGUUUUGCUUCAGUGAGGUUGUUCAUGCUUGACGGAAUAAUGAAUGCAAAGAUAGAUUCCUUUGAUUUGGUUACUCGGCUGACAAGAAUAUGCAUUCCUCUAUAUACCACCUUACCUCUCGUGUGAUGCUUUCUAUGUUGUGUGUUCCCUGUAUUAGAUAAGGGCUAUUGCUUGCUUAGACCAUAUUGAUUCUGAUUGGCCUAUUGUUAAAGUUCAAGAUAGUAGGGUUGAUACUUGAGUACAUAAAUCAUUCAAUUACAUACAUCUCACAGUUUGUUUGUAUCAGGUUUGUGCGAGGUAGUCCCUAUGAAGUACAUCGACAAGCCGGAUGGAUUACGGCGCCUAUUAGUAUGCUUAGUGAUAAUGACUCCUUAGUUGACAAUGUUUAUUAUGUUCCUGCUCUUAUUACCUUCUCUUAUGUGUUCUCGCUUUUGGUAUUGAACCUGAUGUCAAAUAGCUAUCUUUUGUGGUCAUGUAAACGCACCAAGUUUGAUUCUGCCUUAUAAACCAAUGUUUAUCUUGUGCUCCAUUAUGCUUUAUUUUUU
rnacentral:lncRNA from 1 species